rnacentral:rRNA from 1 species
UCAAGUUGUUAAGAGCAUACGGUGGAUGCCUUGGCACCAGGAGCCGAUGAAGGACGUAGGAGGCUGCGAUAAGCCUCGGGGAGCUGUCAACCGAGCUGAGAUCCGAGGAUUUCCGAAUGGGGAAACCCGGCCCCAGUCAUGUGGGGUCACCUGCACCUGAAUGUAUAGGGUGUGUGGAGGGAACGCGGGGAAGUGAAACAUCUCAGUACCCGUAGGAAGAGAAAACAACCGUGAUUCCGUGAGUAGUGGCGAGCGAAAGCGGAUGAGGCUAAACCAGUUUCGUGUGAUACCCGGCAGGGGUUGCGAUUCUGGGGUCGUGGGACGUGCUGGUCAGAUCUGCCGGUCUGGCACGGAGUCAGAAAACACAGUGUUAGUUGAACGCUCUGGGAAGGGCGGCUGUAGAGGGUGAGAGCCCCGUAGACGAAAAUGCUGUGUCUCCGAGUAUGUAUCCCAAGUAGCAGCGAGCUCGUGGAAUUUGCUGUGAAUCUGGCGGGACCACCCGCUAAGCCUAAAUACUCCCUGGUGACCGAUAGCGGACUAGUACCGUGAGGGAAAGGUGAAAAGUACCCCGGGAGGGGAGUGAAAGAGUACCUGAAACCGUGUGCUUACAAUCCGUCAGAGCCUGUUGAAGGGUGAUGGCGUGCCUUUUGAAGAAUGAGCCUGCGAGUUAGUGGUGCGUGGCGAGGUUAACCCGUGUGGGGUAGCCGUAGCGAAAGCGAGUCUGAAUAGGGCGAAAUAGUCGCGUGCUCUAGACCCGAAGCGGGGUGAUCUACCCAUGGCCAGGGUGAAGCGACGGUAAGACGUCGUGGAGGCCCGAACCCACCAGGGUUGAAAACCUGGGGGAUGAGCUGUGGGUAGGGGUGAAAGGCCAAUCAAACUCCGUGAUAGCUGGUUCUCCCCGAAAUGCAUUUAGGUGCAGCGUCGUAUGUUUCACACCGGAGGUAGAGCUACUGGAUGGUCUAGGGGGCCUACAAGCUUACUGAAAUCAGCCAAACUCCGAAUGCCGGUGUGUGAAGUGCGGCAGUGAGACUGCGGGGGAUAAGCUUCGUAGUCGAGAGGGAAACAGCCCAGAACACCGGCUAAGGCCCCUAAGUGUGCGCUAAGUGGGAAAGGAUGUGGGGUCGCUUAGACAACCAGGAGGUUGGCUUAGAAGCAGCCACCCUUGAAAGAGUGCGUAAUAGCUCACUGGUCAAGUGGUUCCGCGCCGACAAUGUAGCGGGGCUUAAGCGCGCCGCCGAAGCCGUGUCAUUGACACAUGUGAUCCGCUUCGCUCCUUGAGAGCGUUGUGUAGUCGUGUUGAUGGGUAGGGGAGCGUCGUGCAUCCAGGGAAGCAGCCGCGGAAGCGAGUUGUGGAGGGUGUGCGAGUGAGAAUGCAGGCAUGAGUAGCGAAUGCAGAGUGAGAACCUCUGCCGCCGGAUGACCAAGGGUUCCUGGGCCAGGUUAAUCCGCCCAGGGUAAGUCGGGACCUAAGGCGAGGCCGACAGGCGUAGUCGAUGGACAACGGGUUGAUAUUCCCGUACCCGUGUGGAUGCGCCCAUGGUGAGGCAGGUAAUGCUAACCACCCGAGCGAAGCUGAUCCUUCGGGAGAGGCGGAGUGAGCGUGGGAUCCGAACCUGUAGUAGUCAAGCGAUGGGGUGACGCAGGAAGGUAGCUCCGCCAGUGAGUGGUAGUACUGGUGUAAGCGUGUAGGGCGGUGUGUAGGCAAAUCCGCACACCAUAUAAGCCUGAGACGUGAUGCGUAGCCGAUUGAGGCGAAGUGGGUGAUCCUAUGCUGCCGAGAAAAGCCUCUAGUGAGUGUCCAUGCGGCCCGUACCCCAAACCGACACAGGUGGUCAGGUAGAGAAUACCGAGGCGUUCGGGUGAACUGUGGUUAAGGAACUCGGCAAAAUGCCCCCGUAACUUCGGGAGAAGGGGGGCCGUUGGGUUUGAUGUUCUUCUCGAGUGGAGGACUUGACGGCCGCAGAGACCAGGGAGAAGCGACUGUUUACUAAAAACACAGGUCCGUGCGAAGUCGUAAGACGAUGUAUACGGACUGACGCCUGCCCGGUGCUGGAACGUUAAGGGGACCGGUUAGUCCGUAAGGGCGAAGCUGAGAACUUAAGCGCCAGUAAACGGCGGUGGUAACUAUAACCAUCCUAAGGUAGCGAAAUUCCUUGUCGGGUAAGUUCCGACCUGCACGAAUGGCGUAACGACUUCUCCGCUGUCUCAACCACAGGCCCGGUGAAAUUGCAUUACGAGUAAAGAUGCUCGUUACGCGCGGCAGGACGGAAAGACCCCGGGACCUUUACUAUAGCUUGGUAUUGGUGUUUGGUUCGGCUUGUGUAGGAUAGGUGGGAGACUGUGAAGCUGGCACGCUAGUGUUGGUGGAGUCGUCGUUGAAAUACCACUCUGGUCGUACUGGAUGUCUAACCUCGGACCGUGAUCCGGUUCAGGGACAGUGCCUGGUGGGUAGUUUAACUGGGGCGGUUGCCUCCCAAAGGGUAACGGAGGCGCCCAAAGGUUCCCUCAGCCUGGUUGGCAAUCAGGUGUUGAGUGUAAGUGCACAAGGGAGCUUGACUGUGAGACUGACGGGUCGAGCAGGGACGAAAGUCGGGACUAGUGAUCCGGCACUGGCUUGUGGAAGCGGUGUCGCUCAACGGAUAAAAGGUACCCCGGGGAUAACAGGCUGAUCUUGCCCAAGAGUCCAUAUCGACGGCAUGGUUUGGCACCUCGAUGUCGGCUCGUCGCAUCCUGGGGCUGGAGUAGGUCCCAAGGGUUGGGCUGUUCGCCCAUUAAAGCGGCACGCGAGCUGGGUUUAGAACGUCGUGAGACAGUUCGGUCCCUAUCCGCCGCGCGCGUUGGAGACUUGAGGAAGGCUGUCCCUAGUACGAGAGGACCGGGACGGACGAACCUCUGGUGUGCCAGUUGUUCUGCCAAGAGCAUGGCUGGUUGGCUACGUUCGGAAGGGAUAACCGCUGAAGGCAUCUAAGCGGGAAGCUUGUUUCGAGAUGAGGUCUCCCACCACCUUUGAGUGGUUAAGGCCCCCUAUAGACGAUGGGGUUGAUAGGCCCGAGAUGGAAGCCUGGUAACAGGUGGAGUUGACGGGUACUAAUAGGCCGAGGGCUUGUUCAC